UACGGGGGGGGCAAGCGUUGUUCGGAAUUACUGGGCGUAAAGGGCUCGUAGGUGGCCAACUAAGUCAGACGUGAAAUCCCUCGGCUUAACCGGGGAACUGCGUCUGAUACUGGAUGGCUGGAGUAUGGGAGAGGAAUGCGGAAUUCCAGGUGUAGCGGUGAAAUGCGUAGAUAUCAGGAGGAACACCGGUGGCGAAGGCGGGUCUCUGGGCAAUUCCUGACGCUGAGGCGCGAAAGCGUGGGGAGCAAACAGG
rnacentral:rRNA from 1 species